GAUCCUGACUCAGGACGAACGCUGGCGACGUGCCUAAUACAUGCAAGUCGAGCGGACCGAAGGGAGCUUGCUCUUUUAGGUUAGCGGCGGACGGGUGAGUAACACGUGGGCAACCUGCCCUGCAGACUGGGAUAACUUCGGGAAACCGGAGCUAAUACCGGAUAACACCGAAAACCGCAUGGUUUUCGGUUGAAAGGCGGCUUUUAGCUGUCACUGCAGGAUGGGCCCGCGGCGCAUUAGCUAGUUGGUGAGGUAACGG
rnacentral:rRNA from 1 species